AGAGUUUGAUCAUGGCUCAGAUUGAACGCUGGCGGCAUGCCUUACACAUGCAAGUCGAACGGCAGCACGGGAGCAAUCCUGGUGGCGAGUGGCGAACGGGUGAGUAAUAUAUCGGAACGUGCCCAGUCGUGGGGGAUAACGCAGCGAAAGCUGUGCUAAUACCGCAUACGAUCUAUGGAUGAAAGCGGGGGAUCGCAAGACCUCGCGCGAUUGGAGCGGCCGAUAUCAGAUUAGCUAGUUGGUGGGGUAAAAGCCCACCAAGGCGACGAUCUGUAGCUGGUCUGAGAGGACGACCAGCCACACUGGAACUGAGACACGGUCCAGACUCCUACGGGAGGCAGCAGUGGGGAAUUUUGGACAAUGGGCGAAAGCCUGAUCCAGCAAUGCCGCGUGCAGGACGAAGGCCUUCGGGUUGUAAACUGCUUUUGUACGGAACGAAACGGUCUCUUCUAAUAAAGGGGGCUAAUGACGGUACCGUAAGAAUAAGCACCGGCUAACUACGUGCCAGCAGCCGCGGUAAUACGUAGGGUGCGAGCGUUAAUCGGAAUUACUGGGCGUAAAGCGUGCGCAGGCGGUUAUAUAAGACAGAUGUGAAAUCCCCGGGCUCAACCUGGGACCUGCAUUUGUGACUGUAUAGCUAGAGUACGGUAGAGGGGGAUGGAAUUCCGCGUGUAGCAGUGAAAUGCGUAGAUAUGCGGAGGAACACCGAUGGCGAAGGCAAUCCCCUGGACCUGUACUGACGCUCAUGCACGAAAAGCGUGGGGAGCAAACAGGAUUAGAUACCCUGGUAGUCCACGCCCUAAACGAUGUCAACUGGUUGUUGGGUCUUCACUGACUCAGUAACGAAGCUAACGCGUGAAGUUGACCGCCUGGGGAGUACGGGCCGCAAGGUUGAAACUCAAAGGAAUUUGACGGGGACCCGCACAAGCGGUGGAUGAUUGUUGGUUUAAUUCGAUGCAACGCGAAAACCUACCCACCUUUGACAUGUACGGAUUUGCGAAGAUGGCUUAUGCCUCGAAAGAGAGCCGUAAACACAGUGCUGCAUGCUGUCCGUCAGCCUCGUUGU
rnacentral:rRNA from 1 species